ensembl:lncRNA
UCUAGCCAUCGGCUCUGAGGGGGUGUGGGGCCACAAGGGGUCAGUGUUUCCUCAUAUAUAAAGCUCUCGUCUCACUGAGCUAUGUAGCUGGAACAUGAUGAACAAAUCCUCAGUUCUUUUGGGAUGACGUCACCAACGACUUACAAUUCGGAGAAUCCUAUUUUUCUCCACACAGAGGAAGGUAGAGGGAGAAGCAGAAGGAAACCGGGGCACCAGCGCAGUGGGGCAGUGCCUUGAAAGUGACCCUUAUGUACCUGAGCAUAUGGUGAAAUCACUGGACAAAUGGAUCCCAAUGUUUGGCUGUCUCCCCUCUCACCUACGGACCCCCGCUGGCGGCGAGGGGCAGAGUGGAGAGGACAUCUUCCAAGUUGCAUUUCUGGCGGUAUGUGUCUCAGAGUUCGAGGAAGAAGAGGGAACGUGUUACCCCCAUGGUCAAGCGAAGACUGAUGCACAUGCUGGGCGAGG